GACGGAGGAGGCAAGCGUUAUCCGGAAUUAUUGGGCGUAAAGCGUCCGCAGGUGGUUUUACAAGUCUGUUGUUAAAGCGCGAGGCUCAACCUUGUAUAGGCAAUGGAAACUGUAAGACUAGAGUGCGGUAGGGGUAGAGGGAAUUCCCGGUGUAGCGGUGAAAUGCGUAGAUAUCGGGAAGAACACCAGUGGCGAAGGCGCUCUACUGGGCCUGCACUGACACUGAGGGACGAAAGCUAGGGGAGCAAACAGG
rnacentral:rRNA from 1 species